GAAGUAAAAAUCGUAACAAGGUCUCCGUUGGUGAACCAGCGGAGGGAUCAUUACCGAGUUUACAACUCCCAAACCCCUGUGAACAUACCACUUGUUGCCUCGGCGGAUCAGCCCGCUCCCGGUAAAAUGGGACGGCCCGCCAGAGGACCCCUAAACUCUGUUUCUAUAUGUAACUUCUGAGUAAAACCAUAAAUAAAUCAAAACUUUCAACAACGGAUCUCUUGGUUCUGGCAUCGAUGAAGAACGCAGCAAAAUGCGAUAAGUAAUGUGAAUUGCAGAAUUCAGUGAAUCAUCGAAUCUUUGAACGCACAUUGCGCCCGCCAGUAUUCUGGCGGGCAUGCCUGUUCGAGCGUCAUUUCAACCCUCAAGCACAGCUUGGUGUUGGGACUCGCGUUAAUUCGCGUUCCUCAAAUUGAUUGGCGGUCACGUCGAGCUUCCAUAGCGUAGUAGUAAAACCCUCGUUACUGGUAAUCGUCGCGGCCACGCCGUUAAACCCCAACUUCUGAAUGUUGACCUCGGAUCAGGUAGGAAUACCCGCUGAACUUAAGCAUAUCAUA
rnacentral:rRNA from 1 species